GAUGAACGCUGGCGGCGUGCCUAAUACAUGCAAGUCGAGCGAACGGACGAGAAGCUUGCUUUUCUGAUGUUAGCGGCGGACGGGUGAGUAACACGUGGAUAACCUACCUAUAAGACUGGGAUAACUUCGGGAAACCGGAGCUAAUACCGGAUAAUAUCUUGAACCGCAUGGUUCAAAAGUGAAAGACGGUCUUGCUGUCACUUAUAGAUGGAUCCGCGCUGCAUUAGCUAGUUGGUAAGGUAACGGCUUACCAAGGCAACGAUGCAUAGCCGACCUGAGAGGGUGAUAGGCCACACGGGAACUGAGACACGGUCCAGACGCCUACGGGAGGCCGCAGUAGGGAAUCUGCCGCAAUGGGCGAAAGCCUGACGGAGCAACGCCGCGUGAGUGAUGAAGGUCUUCGGAUCGUAAAACUCUGUUAUUAGGGAAGAACAUAUGUGUAAGUAACUGUGCACAUCUUGACGGUACCUAAUCAGAAAGCCACGGCUAACUACGUG
rnacentral:rRNA from 1 species